rnacentral:rRNA from 1 species
UGGGGAAUAUUGGACAAUGGGGGGAACCCUGAUCCAGCCAUGCCGCGUGUGUGAAGAAGGCCUUAUGGUUGUAAAGCACUUUAAGCGAGGAGGAGGGUACCUUGGUUAAUACCCAAGAGUAUCGGACGUUACUCGCAGAAUAAGCACCGGCUAACUCUGUGCCAGCAGCCGCGGUAAUACAGAGGGUGCAAGCGUUAAUCGGAUUUACUGGGCGUAAAGCGUGCGUAGGCGGCUAAUUAAGUCGGAUGUGAAAUCCCCGAGCUCAACUUGGGAAUUGCAUUCGAUACUGGUUAGCUAGAGUAUGGGAGAGGAUGGUAGAAUUCCAGGUGUAGCGGUGAAAUGCGUAGAGAUCUGGAGGAAUACCGAUGGCGAAGGCAGCCAUCUGGCCUAAUACUGACGCUGAGGUACGAAAGCAUGGGGAGCAAACAGG